rnacentral:rRNA from 1 species
CCUACGGGAGGCUGCAGUGAGGAAUAUUGGUCAAUGGGCGAGAGCCUGAACCAGCCAAGUCGCGUGAAGGAUGACGGCCCUACGGGUUGUAAACUUCUUUUGUCAGGGAGCAAUUGGGUCCACGCGUGGGCUUAGCGAGAGUACCUGAAGAAAAAGCAUCGGCUAACUCCGUGCCAGCAGCCGCGGUAAUACGGGGGAUGCGAGCGUUAUCCGGAUUUAUGGGGGUUAAGGGGUGCGUAGGCGGAAUAUCAAGUCAGCGGUAAAAAUCCGGGGCUCAACCCCGUCGUGCCGUUGAAACUGGUGUUCUUGAGUGGGCGAGAAGUAUGCGGAAUGCGUGGUGUAGCGGUGAAAUGCAUAGAUAUCGCGCAGAACUCCGAUUGCGAAGGCAGCAUACCGGCGCCCAACUGACGCUGAAGCACGAAAGCGUGGGUAUCGAACAGGAUUAGAUACCCGAGUAGUC